AGAGUUUGAUCCUGGCUCAGGAUGAACGCUAGCGACAGGCUUAACACAUGCAAGUCGAGGGGCAGCGAGGGAGUGGCAACACUUCUGUCGGCGACCGGCGCACGGGUGAGUAACGCGUAUGCAACCUGCCCUUCACAGGGGGAUAACCGGGAGAAAUUCCGACUAAUACCGCAUACGUCCUCCGGGGGCAUCCCCGGGGGAUGAAAGAGUUAUCGGUGAAGGAUGGGCAUGCGUGAUAUUAGGUAGUUGGCGGGGCAACGGCCCACCAAGCCCACGAUAUCUAGGGGUUCUGAGAGGAAGGUCCCCCACAUUGGUACUGAGACACGGACCAAACUCCUACGGGAGGCAGCAGUGAGGAAUAUUGGUCAAUGGACGAGAGUCUGAACCAGCCAAGUCGCGUGAAGGAAGACGGAUCUAUGGUUUGUAAACUUCUUUAGUGCGGGAACAAAGCGGCGUCGUGACGCCGGAUGAGUGUACCGCAAGAAUAAGCAUCGGCUAACUCCGUGCCAGCAGCCGCGGUAAUACGGAGGAUGCGAGCGUUAUCCGGAUUUAUUGGGUUUAAAGGGAGCGCAGGCUGCGAGGCUUAAGUCAGCGGUCAAAUGUCGGGGCUCAACCCCGGCCUGCCGUUGAAACUGUUUUGCUAGAGUUCAGUAGAGGUAUGCGGAAUGCGUUGUGUAGCGGUGAAAUGCAUAGAUAUGACGCAGAACUCCGAUUGCGAAGGCAGCAUACCAACUCGCGACUGACGCUGAGGCUCGAAAGCGUGGGUAUCGAACAGGAUUAGAUACCCUGGUAGUCCACGCAGUAAACGAUGAAUACUAACUGUUCGGAGGGCGACCUCUGAGUGGUAAAGCGAAAGCGUUAAGUAUUCCACCUGGGGAGUACGCCGGCAACGGUGAAACUCAAAGGAAUUGACGGGGGCCCGCACAAGCGGAGGAACAUGUGGUUUAAUUCGAUGAUACGCGAGGAACCUUACCCGGGCUCAAACGUCGGGCGAAUCAUCCUGAAAGGGGUGAGCCAGCAAUGGCGGCCGACGAGGUGCUGCAUGGUUGUCGUCAGCUCGUGCCGUGAGGUGUCGG
rnacentral:rRNA from 1 species